UGGUGGGCGACCUAGAACUUAAAUGUAUUCCCGCAUUAUACUGGUGGGCGACCUAGAACUUAAAUGUAUUCCCGCAUUUUACUGGUGGGCGACCUAGAACUUAAAUGUAUUCCCGCAUUUUACUGGUGGGCGACCUAGAACUUAAAUGUAUUCCCGCAUUAUUCUGGUGAGCGACCUAGAACUUAAAUGUAUUCCCGCAUUAUACUGGUGGGCGACCUAGAAAUUAAAUGUAUUCCCGCAUUAUACUGGUGGGCGACCUAGAACUUAAAUGUAUUAAAUUGUUUCCCCGUUCUUCCGAGAAAAAUUUCGACAAUUGGC
rnacentral:lncRNA from 1 species